GGGGCCGACCGGUAUUGACAGUAAGUGUGAAUAUUGUACUUGCAUGUCGGGUGGUGAGUAAGCACACGUAAUCACUUUACUCAAAUCAUAUUUGGCGAAUCUAAUUACGCCAUGGCUGCUUAAUUUUAGCUGAUAGCUAGAAUUAUUAACCUCGGAUAAGAUUCGAGGCAGACACAUCCCUCCAGGCUUUUGUCUUACAAGCCGGACUCAGGGGUGUCAUCUCGUAAGACUAGCUUGAGGCGAAGUUGCUAACCGAUAGCGAAGCUAAAGUAACUGGUAGGAAAAGUGGGUUGUUGUCCGCCAGCCUUCCUACGAGAUCCUAAGUGACAACUAAGCAUGUAGAGGGUCCAAUAUGACCUUAUCUGGACGAGGGUUCGAUUCCCUCCGGCUCCACUU
rfam:Reichenbachiella agariperforans strain DSM 26134 genome assembly, contig: Ga0070003_107